rnacentral:rRNA from 1 species
CAAUAGCGUAUAUUAAAGUUGUUGCGGUUAAAAGCUCGUAGUUGGAUUUCUGCUGAGGACGAUCGGUCCGCCCUCUGGGUGAGCAUUGACUCGGCCUUGGCAUCUUCUUGGAGAACGCUACUGCACUUGACUGUGUGGUGCGGUAUCCAGGACUUUUACUUUGAGGAAAUUAGAGUGUUUCAAGCAGGCGCACGCCUUGAAUACAUUAGCAUGGAAUAAUAGGAUAGGACCUUGGUUCUAUUUUGUUGGUUUUGAGAGCUGGGGCAGCGAUUGAUAGGGACGGAUGGGGGCGUCCGAACUUUACUGUCAGAGGUGAAAUUCUUAGAUCGGUCAAAGGCGAACUACUGCGAACGCAUUCGCCAAGAAUGUUUUCUUUAAUCAAGAACGAAAGUUAGGGGAUCGAAGAUGAUCAGAUACCAU